rnacentral:rRNA from 1 species
AGUGAACGCUGGCGGCAGGCCUAACACAUGCAAGUCGAACGGCAACAGGGAUCAGCUUUCUGCUUCCCUGACGAGAGGCGCAGGCGUGUGUAGUGUCUGUCAAACUGCAUUAUGGAGGGGGAUAACUCCUGGAAACGGUAACUAAUACCGCAUAACCUCCCAACACCAAAGAGGAGGACCUUCUGGCCCCUUGCCAGCGUGAGUGCGCCGAUGGGAUUAGCUAGUAGGUGGGGUGACGGCUCACCUAGACGACGAUCCCUAGCUGGUCUGAGAGGAUGAGCAGCCACACUGGAACUGAGACACGGUCCAGACUCCUACGGGAGGCAGCAGUGGGGAAUAUUGCACAAUGGGCGCAAGCCUGAUCCAGACAUGCCGCGUGGGUGAAGAAGGCCUUCGGGUUGUAAAGGCCUUUCAUUGGGGAAGAAAGGCGGAAAGUUAAUACCUCGCCGCAUUGACGGUACCCGAAGAAGAAGCACCGGCUAACUCCGUG